UACGUAGGGCGCAAGCGUUAAUCGGAAUUACUGGGCGUAAAGCGUGCGCAGGCGGUUUUGUAAGACAGUGGUGAAAUCCCCGGGCUCAACCUGGGAACUGCCAUUGUGACUGCAAGGCUAGAGUGCGGCAGAGGGGGAUGGAAUUCCGCGUGUAGCAGUGAAAUGCGUAGAUAUGCGGAGGAACACCGAUGGCGAAGGCAAUCCCCUGGGCCUGCACUGACGCUCAUGCACGAAAGCGUGGGGAGCAAACAGGAUUAGAUA
rnacentral:rRNA from 1 species